UGGGGAAUAUUGCACAAUGGGCGCAAGCCUGAUGCAGCCAUGCCGCGUCGUGUGAAGAAGGCCUUCGGGUUGUAAAGCACUUUCAGUCGUGAGGAAGGCGGCGUGGUCUAAUAGCGGCGUUGUUUGACGUUAGCGACAGAAGAAGCACCGGCUAACUCCGUGC
rnacentral:rRNA from 1 species